UACAGAGGGGGCAAGCGUUGUUCGGAAUGACUGGGCGUAAAGGGUGCGUAGGCGGGCAGGUAAGUCCGUGGUGAAAUCUCUGAGCUUAACUCAGAAACUGCCAUGGAUACUAUUUGUCUUGAAUAUUGUGGAGGCAAGCGGAAUAUGUCAUGUAGCGGUGAAAUGCUUAGAUAUGACAUAGAACACCCAUUGCGAAGGCAGCUUGCUACACAAUGAUUGACGCUGAGGCACGAAAGCGUGGGGAUCAAACAGG
rnacentral:rRNA from 1 species